UACGUAGGGGGCUAGCGUUGUUCGGAUUUAUUGGGCGUAAAGGGCAUGUAGGCGGUUAUGUAAGUGUGGAUUUAAAGGCGGAGGCUUAACCUCCGUAUGGUCUGCAAACUGCAUAGCUUGAGUUCAGAAGGGGAAACUGGAAUUCCGCGUGUAGGGGUGAAAUCUGUAGAGAUGCGGAAGAAUACCUGUGGCGAAGGCGAGUUUCUGGGCUGAUACUGACGCUGAAAUGCGAAAGUGCGGGGAUCAAACAGG
rnacentral:rRNA from 1 species